rnacentral:misc_RNA from 1 species
GAUGAAGAACGUAGCGAAAUGCGAUAAGUAAUGUGAAUUGCAGAAUUUAGUGAAUCAUCGAAUCUUUGAACGCACAUUGCGCCCCUUGGUAUUCCGAGGGGCAUGCCUGUUCGAGCGUCAUUACAACCCUCAAGCUCAGCUUGGUGUUGGGGCCUGCUGCACUGGCAGCCCUUAAAAUCAGUGGCGGCGCCAUCUGGCUCUAAGCGUAGUAAUUCUUCUCGCUAUGGAGUCCUGGUGGAUGCUUGCCAUCAACCCCCAAUUUUUCUAUGGUUGACCUCGGAUCAGGUAGGGAUACCCGCUGAACUUAAGCAUAUCAAUAAGCGGAGGA